rnacentral:misc_RNA from 1 species
GUAUUAAUUGCGUGUGAUCGCAAAAGAAAAACAUUCUACACUGUAUCGAGUUUGUGUGAAAACGUGAGCCCCCGAAAGGGGACCCACGCGGUGGUGCACAUAGGGGUGAGAUGGAUGUUUGAGAACGCUCGGGCGUGCACGACGAAAAAGUCAGCGACAGCCCUCGCACCCCCGUUGUAUGAUAAUGAUCCUUCCGCAGGUUCACCUACGGAAA